rnacentral:rRNA from 1 species
GUAGGUGGCAAGCGUUGUCCGGAAUUAUUGGGCGUAAAGCGCGCGCAGGCGGUUCUUUAAGUCUGAUGUGAAAGCCCACGGGCUCAACCGUGGAGGGUCAUUGGAAACUGGAGAACUUGAGUACAGAAGAGGAAAGCGGAAUUCCACGUGUAGCGGUGAAAUGCGUAGAGAUGUGGAGGAACAACAGUGGCGAAGGCGGCUUUCUGGUCUGUAACUGACGCUGAGGCGCGAAAGCGUGGGGAGCAAACAGGAUUAGAUACCCUGGUAGUCCACGCCGUAAACGAUGAGUGCUAAGUGUUAGGGGGUUUCCGCCCCUUAGUGCUGCAGCUAACGCAUUAAGCACUCCGCCUGGGGAGUACGGCCGCAAGGCUG